rnacentral:rRNA from 1 species
CAAAGGUGAGCCAGUACAGGAUGGACCCGCGUCUGAUUAGCUAGUUGGUAAGGUAACGGCUUACCAAGGCGACGAUCAGUAGCCGACCUGAGAGGGUGAUCGGCCACAUUGGAACUGAGACACGGUCCAAACUCCUACGGGAGGCAGCAGUGGGGAAUAUUGCACAAUGGGCGAAAGCCUGAUGCAGCAACGCCGCGUGAGUGAUGAAGGCCUUCGGGUCGUAAAACUCUGUCCUCAAGGAAGAUAAUGACGGUACUUGAGGAGGAAGCCCCGGCUAACUACGUGCCAGCAGCCGCGGUAAUACGUAGGGGGCUAGCGUUAUCCGGAUUUACUGGGCGUAAAGGGUGCGUAGGCGGUCUUUCAAGUCAGGAGUGAAAGGCUACGGCUCAACCGUAGUAAGCUCUUGAAACUGGGAGACUUGAGUGCAGGAGAGGAGAGUGGAAUUCCUAGUGUAGCGGUGAAAUGCGUAGAUAUUAGGAGGAACACCAGUUGCGAAGGCGGCUCUCUGGACUGUAACUGACGCUGAGGCACGAAAGCGUGGGGAGCAAACAGGAUUAGAUACCCUGGUAGUCCACGCUGUAAACGAUGAGUACUAGGUGUCGGGGGUUACC